AUGAAAAUAUUAAGCUGGAACUGUCGAGGGUUAGGUCAAUCUCAUACAGUUCAAGAGCUUGUGUGUCUCUCUAAGACGCAUCAACCCAAUGUUAUCUUUCUUUCUGAGACAAGAAAAAAUAAAGAUUAUGUUGAAUAUUUGCAUUUCCGUUUGGGUAUGAAAAAUGUGUUUACCGUUUCAGUUGAAGGCAAAGGUGGUGGGCUGGCCGUGUUCUAGGAUGAUAUGUAC
rnacentral:rRNA from 1 species